CCCCUAGACGUUCUGGGCUGCACGCGCGCUACAAUAAUACACACAGCGAGUAUCACCGAGCUCGAAAGGGCAAGGUAAACAAUAGAAAAGGUACUGUAAUGGUUAUAGAUCCUUGUAAUUAUUGAUCUUCAACGAGGAAUUCCUAGUAAGUAUGUGUCAUCAUCACGCACUGAUUACGUCCCUGCCCUUUGUACACACCGCCCGUCGCUCCUACCGAUUGAGUGAGCCGAUGAAACUGCCGGAUGUGGACUAUUCAUAGUCUGCAGAAGAUAUUUGAAUCGUAGCGCUUAGAGGAAGGAGAAGUCGUAACA
rnacentral:rRNA from 1 species